rnacentral:rRNA from 1 species
AACGAACGCUGGCGGUAUGCCUAACACAUGCAAGUCGAACGAGAUCUUCGGGUCUAGUGGCGCACGGGUGCGUAACGCGUGGGAAUCUGCCCUUUGGUUCGGAAUAACAGUUGGAAACGACUGCUAAUACCGGAUGAUGACGAAAGUCCAAAGAUUUAUCGCCAGAGGAUGAGCCCGCGUAGGAUUAGCUAGUUGGUGUGGUAAAGGCGCACCAAGGCGACGAUCCUUAGCUGGUCUGAGAGGAUGAUCAGCCACACUGGGACUGAGACACGGCCCAGACUCCUACGGGAGGCAGCAGUGGGGAAUAUUGGACAAUGGGCGAAAGCUUGAUCCAGCAAUGCCGCGUGAGUGAUGAAGGCCUUAGGGUUGUAAAGCUCUUUUACCCGGGAUGAUAAUGACAGUACCGGGAGAAUAAGCUCCGGCUAACUCCGUGCCAGCCGCCGCAGUAA